ensembl:rRNA 5S_rRNA 5S ribosomal RNA
GGUUACGGCCAUACCACUCUGACAAAGCCUGAUCUCAUCUGACCUCGGAAGCAAAGCAGAGUUGGGCCUGGUUAGUACUCGGUUGGGAGACUGAAUGGGAAUACUAGGUGCUGUAAGCU